rnacentral:rRNA from 1 species
UACGAAGGGGGCUAGCGUUGUUCGGAAUUACUGGGCGUAAAGCGCGCGCAGGCGGCUAUCCAAGUCAGUGGUGAAAGCCCGGAGCUCAACUCCGGAACUGCCAUUGAAACUGUUUAGCUUGAGGAUGAGAGAGGUGAGUGGAAUUCCCAGUGUAGAGGUGAAAUUCGUAGAUAUUGGGAAGAACACCAGUGGCGAAGGCGGCUCACUGGUCCGGUACUGACGCUGAGGUGCGAAAGCGUGGGGAGCAAACAGG